GGGGGUGAAGGAGAGCAGGGCAGCGUGUUUCUCUUCUCCCCGCAAGCUGCCGCCGUCAACCGUUCUUUUCUUCGUUGGAAUUUUUCUCUUCCAUUUGGCAUCUUCUCUUAAGGUGAAUCAUGAGCUGGAUGUUGCGAGUGCAGCUCUCAUUCUCAUAAGACAUUCAUACUUCUGGAAGAUAAAUUGAUGCUAGUUGGUCAUUUCACCUCUCUUUCUCAUCCUAUUGCAUGUUAAUAAAUGCAAUUAACAGGCUUGGAUGGAUCUCUCUACUACUUCGGUAAAUAUAUCAAUUUCAUGUCAACGAAAGGAUAAAAAAAAUAAUAAUAUAAUUUUCUUGUCUUAUAUAUAUGUUGCUUAAAGUUGAAUCAAUUAAUAUGUGAAAUGGAUAUUGCUGAUUUAUUACAUAUUCACGCUCUAGUAUAUCUCGAACAGCAUGAACAACAGACCUCAUGGCUUCAAAUUGGUGUUGGCCAUGCUUGGGUUGUUCACAAUUUCCCAGCUGAUUUGCGAUUUUUACAGGCUUCUACUUGCCAAACUUAACUCCCUUCAAAGUCAAGAUGGGCUUUCCAUCAAAAUUAUACGUUAUUAUUUACAUAGAUAGAGAGCCAAACCCAACAAUUAUGCAAAAAUUUCAUUGGGUGUGGGCAGUGUUUUUUGUGUUCACAUUUUUGCAGCUGGCGUGCAGUUUUUACACGCUGUCACUUACCAAACAUAACUCCAUCCCCACUCUUUCCCUCACACACACUAUAUAUGUAUAUAUGUAAUAUGUGCAUCCUUAUUGUCAAUAAAGAAAGGAAGAAGCACUUUUAAAAAAAAAAAAAAUUUGAAACGGCGUUGUGGAAACAACAUAAAGUUAUGUUGCGUUAGGAAGAGGAAAACUGGUCUGCAGAGGCUACGGAACUAUACAAGAAGAUCCAACGGGAAAAGUGGUUGGAAUGGGGUAGGAAGAAUAAAAACGCUCCCGGUAAGUCCAGAAAUUUUAAAUCUUGGGAUGCUCCUGUGAGAUGUUCUUACCAUGGUUUUUCUAUUUAGUUGUAUAUCUUGGUUUAUGGUUUUAAUCCAAAUUUUUCCGAUGUAUUGUCUGUGAGUUUUUCGGAAGAGAUAACCAGAUUUUUGGUAUUGGCUGAUCUGCCUUUUGAUGUCAUAAUGUUUUUGAGGCAUUCAGAUUUAGGCUUGUUCGGUUUUGCUAGGAUCGGGACUCUAUUUGAGGUGUGAAAGUUUACCGUUGAACAGGACAUCAUUGAUGCACUCUCUGUCUGUGUUAGCAAUGCAUUAAGUAUGCAUUUUCUGGUUGGGACGUGCAUCAGCGAUGCAUUCUCUGGUCAUUCCAUUGAUCAGUGAUUAUUUUUUUCCCGUUCGCCAAAUUUAGAUUGUUUCAAAUUUUGGAUUUUCUCAUUUGUGAAAAAUAGUUUUCGAUAGUGCUAAUUGCAUUCGGUGGGGCUUGCAUCGGCUUUCGGAGCAUCUGGUGGCAUUUAUUAAUUGUAGUUGCUUCCAGCCAAUGCACCAGAAUUAAUCCAUUUAAAAAAAAUACAAGCAUUGAUUCUUUUUAUUUUAGGUUUGAGCGUUGAGAAUACUUUCUAGUUGAGUAAAAAUGUAUCACAUUGGGGACAUCAAACUUGUUCUAGAAUUUUAGUGGAUUUUAUCACAGCUUAUUAAGGGAGAUGUCGUCAAUUUUAUACAUC